rnacentral:rRNA from 1 species
AAGUACCGUGAAGGAAAGUUGAAAAGAACUUUGAAGAUAAAGUUCAGGAGUACGUGAAACCGUUCAGGGGUAAACCUAAGAAACCCAAAAGAUCGAACGGGGAGAUUCAUCGUCAGCGGCGUUGGCUUCGCGUCGAGAGAGUGGSNAUGGUGGGCGAUGUCCCGCGAGCUCGCUCGCGGGAACGCUACCGUGCGCACACGUCCGACGUUGUCSUCNUGCACUUCUCCCCUAGUAGGACGUCGCGACUCUCUGGGUGUCSGUCNACSGCCCGAGUGUGGNGUCUGUCGCGUCGCCGGUAAAACGGCASGCGGCAAACCCUCUGUCNCCUGGCCGGCUGCCCGGUGKUACUCGCAAGGUAUCAGGACGCGAAGUGCUCUUCGCGUCAAGCCCAUCGCAAGCGCGCGCCACGGCACCCGGAAGUACGGACCUAGCGCCGUCCCCGGUCCUGAUCCGCUGUUGGCAGAACGGUGACUCUUUCANAGGCCUUAACCAGGGACGGGCUGUGCCUAGCGCGCCGUUCCACUCGGUACCGGUCGGCA